rfam:Prunus persica cultivar Lovell chromosome G7, whole genome shotgun sequence.
GCCUUGGUGGUGGAAAUGGUAGACACGCGAGACAUAAAAUUGUCUUGUGCUUAAGAGCGUGGAGGUUCGAGUCCUCUUCAAGGCA